rnacentral:rRNA from 1 species
GACGAACGCUGGCGGCGUGCUUAACACAUGCAAGUCGAACGGAAAGGCCCUGCUUUUGUGGGGUGCUCGUGUGGCGAACGGGUGAGUAACACGUGAGUAACCUGCCCUUGACUUUGGGAUAACUUCAGGAAACUGGGGCUAAUACCGGAUAGGAUCUCCUGCUGCAUGUGGGGGGUUGGAAAGAUUCGGCGGUUGGGGAUGGACUCGCGGCUUAUCAGCUGGUUGGUGGGGUAGUGGCUUACCAAGGCUUUGACGGGUAGCCGGCCUGAGAGGGUGACCGGCCACAUUGGGACUGAGAUACGGCCCAGACUCCUACGGGAGGCAGAAGUGGGGAAUAUUGCACAAUGGGCGGAAGCCUGAUGCAGCAACGCCGCGUGCGGGAUGACGGCCUUCGGGUUGUAAACCGCUUUCGCCUGUGACGAAGCGUGAGUGACGGUAAUGGGUAAAGAAGCACCGGCUAACUACGUG